rnacentral:rRNA from 1 species
UACGUAGGGUGCGAGCGUUAAUCGGAAUUACUGGGCGUAAAGCGCACGCAGGUGGCUGAGUCAGUCGAUUGUGAAAACCCACGGCUUAACCGUGGGACUGCAGUCGAUACGGGCAGGCUAGAGUUCGGUAGGGGAGACUGGAAUUCCUGGUGUAGCGGUGAAAUGCGCAGAUAUCAGGAGGAACACCGGUGGCGAAGGCGGGUCUCUGGGCCGAUACUGACGCUGAGGAGCGAAAGCGUGGGGAGCGAACAGG